rnacentral:rRNA from 1 species
GACGAACGCUGGCGGCGUGCUUAACACAUGCAAGUCGAACGGAAAGGCCCUGCUUUUGUGGGGUGCUCGAGUGGCGAACGGGUGAGUAACACGUGAGUAACCUGCUCUUGACUUUGGGAUAACUUCAGGAAACUGGGGUUAAUACCGGAUAGGAGCUCCUGCUGCAUGGUGGGGGUUGGAAAGUUUCGGCGGUUGGGGAUGGACUCGCGGCUUAUCAGCUUGUUGGUGGGGUAGUGGCUUACCAAGGCUUUGACGGGUAGCCGGCCUGAGAGGGUGACCGGCCACAUUGGGACUGAGAUACGGCCCAGACUCCUACGGGAGGCAGCAGUGGGGAAUAUUGCACAAUGGGCGGAAGCCUGAUGCAGCAACGCCGCGUGCGGGAUGACGGCCUUCGGGUUGUAAACCGCUUUCGCCUGUGACGAAGCGUGAGUGACGGUAAUGGGUAAAGAAGCACCGGCUAACUACGUG